AGCACAUCCUUUGUACUCAUUUAGAAACGUAACUCUGAAUUUCUCUGUCUCUGCAAAGGGGUAAUUCCUGGGUGUUCUUCAGUGGUGAGUGAAGGCAUUUUUGCACAUGCUAUCGGAUGAACUGAGUCUAGAAUUUUGGUGAGACAUAUUUGAUACCGAAAAAAGUGAACCCCAGGAGAGGGCUCCAAGCUUCAGCUCUUGUCUGAGGUGACCUUCCUGCUUCCUGCUUCCUGCUUCCUGCUUCCUGCUUCCUGCUUCCUGCUUCCUGCUUCCUGCUUCCUGCUUCAGACUGCAGACCAGGGCUUGGACUUGGCUGUGUUCCUCUGCUGAAGGUUACAGCUACUGCUGCACAGCUGUCUUUGUACAGAUCUCCCCAGAUAAAGCCACAAUGUAAGGUUCCAGGUGGCCACACUUAUUUGGAGACACCAUUUAACACGGUUCUGCUUCUACUUCCAUGAGAACCUAGUGAAGAAGACACAGCCAGAGCUUUGAUCAAAGAUUCCAAAUGCAAAUACAACUAACCACCCAACUGGUCCCAUCAGCCAAUGUAUCUCUUUGUUACCUCAAGGGAGAUUGAUUUACGCUUUCAUCAAUAAAUCUUCAUAUUUUCAAUG
rnacentral:lncRNA from 1 species